UCACUCACCUUGUCAUCUGCAGGUGCUAAGUAGUGGUGCCGCAGGUAACCCAAGUGUGAUUACCUGCUGCCUGCUGCUUACCAUUUGUACGUGAAAUUUUAGCCG
rnacentral:pre_miRNA from 14 species